GUUAUGGAGUCACCCAAUUGAUAUGGCAAGACUUUGUUACCGCAAUGCGCAAAAAACAUAGUUUGCUAAAUUGACUUAGUUUCCCCUUGACGCAAGUUUAUAUCCUAAUGGAGGCGAAGUGCAGCAGCGUCUGGAGGAGGCGAAAGUGAGUAAAACCAGCCGAGUUCAGAGUUCAACAAUGUCAGCGAAGUUUAAAUCUUACCGGCUAGCUUAAAUCAGUUCAGGCCCCUCGCCUACGUUCCCGCUGCUGCUGCUACUCUAUGGUACUGCAGUCGACGACCCUGAGUUAUUUUGGAGUUAACAAAUUAAACUGACGUUACGUCUUUUUACACCGUCGCCGAGUCAGUUUAUGAAACCAGUCUUUUCAGAGAGCAUGGCGUGAGGACAGAAGCUGGCUAAGGAGAACCAUGCUUCACCCCAGGUGUACCAAAGACUGGAGAGAUAUUGACACUGCCCCCUUCACGAAUGAAAUGGUCAACUACGGCCGAUGUAAGCUGCAGUCCAUUGAACAGAGCCUGUGUUCCGCCUGACAUUCCCAAGCUGAGCUCCAUAUGGAACAGCUGAAUGGCACAAUUCAAAGUUAGACUCUGGGGAGUUUUAUGAUCCCCCUGCAAAUAAAUUGAUGGCUGACCAACAUGCAGCUGUCUCAGGUGUCACACGUGAUAAUUCCAGAUGCAGUGACAUUACACUGGUUAAAUUUAGGGAUGCACGAUACAUGUCGGGCUGAUUAUGAGCACAUAAUAGGAAAUUUACAUUAUUAUUCAUUGUUCCAAUGAUAACAUUUUUGCCAAUAAAUAGAACUGAUAAUACAAAGCCAAACUGCUUUGACUUAACUGAUGCAACAUCUACACUGCCAAUAAACACAGACAAGAAGAAGAGCAAAGGCAUGGAAUCUGCCUUCCCGGAAAAUGGUGAGUUCAGCGUCUACCAAUCUAACUGUCGUCUGGCUUGAAGUAACACAGCAGCAGCAACUAACAGCCAGCACAGAGCUGUUAAACAGUCCCCAUGAACACCACUGACACCCAAACGGCUUGACUCUGUUGUUAAACCUGAUAAUAACUAGUAGGUAACAUUGGCUGUGUAAUAAACCUGAUAAUAACCACAAUGUAAUGUUAGUUAUUUGAUGCUAACAGUUUGGGCUGCUUGCAGCUCUACAAUAAAAUCAGACCUACCUUUUUUUAUAAGUAGAAAACAAAAUAAGAAAAUUUGUUGAAUUGUGGCAGGUUGUCACAAAUUAAUCAAUGUAUGGAAAACACAAAGCCUUUAUUUUAACAAGAUCCCCGCCAUUUAUGACAGAACGCUUCCCCGCCAUUGACGAGAUAUUCCGUCAAUCCGUAUUUUCACUGGCAUAAGAUGGGGGGCGCUGUCACAGAUCUUGAGGAACAGAACAACACUGCUGAGUCCAAAAAAAAAAAAAAAAAACUAAGAGGAGGAUCCUCUGGAAACUGGAAGAAAAUGUUGUUUAGAAAGAUACAGCAGCUUGUAAACCAAACAAAAAGGCUGGCAGCGACGGAAAAGUUUAUGGUUGCGCAAGCCAUGGAGAUGUUAGACUGACAGACUCUUACAGUUCCUGUUUUGAUCAACAUUCUGAAUCCGAUUUUGACAGAGACGCAAAUGAGUUUGGUUGGAUGAAACAGGAUCAUCAUGAUGGUGACACUGACACAAAGAGAAGACGACCACAGAGAAGAGGGAGACAACAGAACACUGAACAUGAUGAUGCGCUCCACUAUACCUCAAACAGAAUAUUAUUUUCUUUUUUUUUUAUUUAUACAAUUCAAACUGACAUAAGGAAAUGAGGAA